GCGGCCGUGGCGGAAUUGGCAGACGCGCCAGCCUUAGGAGCUGGUGGGGAAACCCGUGGGGGUUCGAGUCCCUCCGGCCGCA
rnacentral:tRNA from 1 species